AUUCUCGCUCAGCACAGAACACUCGCUCUGGAGCAUGGAAGGAGGAGAGGUUAGCCAAGGACACGAGGGGACAGCCUGUGGAAAAGAAGAUCUGGGCCUGGGAAGGUUCCUUUUCUUUCUGAGCCUCAAGCUCCCCAACUGAGCUAUGGGUGCAUUCUGCUGGAGGCAGGCUCCAAGAAGGGAACUUGGCCCUGGAGGAAGGGCAGGUGUUGGAUAUAGGGGGUCCUCACACCUGCAGAGACUGCACGUGCUGGUUAACCCGGUUGGUCUUUUCCUUCAAGCUGGUGAUGGAGUCUUUGGCGCGGACCAAUCCACUGUUGACCCCACUCUGGGGAAGAAUGGGAGACAGGGCUGUCUUGGACCAGCAGAUAGAGGACACAAUGAAACAGAAGAAGCCUGAAUCCUUGACAUGGAGCCACCAUACUCCAUUCCAACCACCUGUGAAGACUUUCAGGGGAACGAUAGCCUCAAUGUCAUAAGCAGCCACCUAUGAAGAGGCCCAUGUAGCAAGGAAUUGAGGCCUCCAGCCAAGGGCAGGUGAGUGCCCCAUUUUGGUAGCACAACCUCUGGCCCCAGUCCAACCUUCAGGUGACUGCAGCCCCAGCCAAAAUCUUGUUUGCAACCUCGUGAGACGCCCUGAGCCAGGCCCACCCAGCUGAGCCCCUCCAAGUUUGUUGUUUGAAGUUUUGGUGUAAUUGGUUUCACAGCAAUAGAAAGCAUUACACAAAGUGUCUUUCUAACCUGAAGACUCAGAAGGUCUUGGGUUUCCUGUGGGUAAUUGUUCUGGAAACCAAGGCAACAGGACCUAGGGCCAACUAAUUUCUCCCAGUUACUAGCCGUAUGACCUCAUGGAGAGGACUUCACCUCUCUGUGCCUCUGCUUCCCUACCUGUGAAAUGGAGAUAUAACUAACAACUACCUUCACAGGGUUCCCAUUGUCCUUCCUCCUACCUGGAAACUGACACUCUCUCAACCAGGGUCUCCAUCACCGCCUGGUUCUCUGUCCCCCUCUUUCCAGUUCUCUGUCCCCACCCAGCCCCUGUGUCUGUUCCUUCUCUCUCUGGGUCUCUAUCCCCCUCCUCUAUUUCUGGUCUUCUGUCUCACCCUGAUUCAGCUCUGUCCCCCAAAUCUCAGAGUCUCUGACUUAUUUUUCCUGAGUCUCUGCCUUUCUACUCUUUAGG